rnacentral:rRNA from 1 species
GAUGAACGCUAGCUACAGGCUUAACACAUGCAAGUCGAGGGGCAGCACUAGGUAGCAAUACUGAGGUGGCGACCGGCGCACGGGUGCGUAACGCGUAUCCAACCUUCCCGAUACUCUUGGAUAGCCUUCCGAAAGGGAGAUUAAUACAAGAUGGUGUUUCACUUUCGCAUGUUAUUGAAACUAAAGAUUUAUCGGUAUCGGAUGGGGAUGCGUGACAUUAGAUAGUAGGCGGGGUAACGGCCCCCCUAGUCUACGAUGUCUAGGGGUUCUGAGAGGAAGGUACCCCACACUGGAAGUGAGACACGGUCCAGACUCCUACGGGAGGCAGCAGUGAGGAAUAUUGGUCAAUGGUCGGAAGACUGAACCAGCCAAGUAGCGUGAAGGAUGAAGGUUCUAUGGAUUGUAAACUUCUUUUAUACGGGAAUAAAACCUCCCACGUGUGGGAGCUUGUAUGUACCGUAUGAAUAAGCAUCGGCUAACUCCGUGCCAGCAGCCGCCGUAAAAC